rnacentral:rRNA from 1 species
ACGGAGGGUGCAAGCGUUGUCCGGAUUUAUUGGGUUUAAAGGGUGCGUAGGCGGCUAAUUAAGUCAGCGGUGAAAGUUUUGGGCUCAACCCAGAAAUUGCCAUUGAUACUGGUUAGCUUGAGUAUUGGAGGGGUACAUGGAAUUGAUGGUGUAGCGGUGAAAUGCAUAGAUACCAUCAGGAACACCGAUAGCGAAGGCAUUGUACUGGCCAAUAACUGACGCUGAUGCACGAAAGCAUGGGUAGCGAACAGG